rnacentral:rRNA from 1 species
GACGAACGCUGGCGGCGUGCUUAACACAUGCAAGUCGAACGGUAAGGCCCUUCGGGGUACACGAGUGGCGAACGGGUGAGUAACACGUGGGUGAUCUGCCCUGCACUUCGGGAUAAGCCUGGGAAACUGGGUCUAAUACCGGAUAGGACCACUGCCUGCAUGGGUGGUGGUGGAAAGCUUUUGCGGUGUGGGAUGGGCCCGCGGCCUAUCAGCUUGUUGGUGGGGUGAUGGCCUACCAAGGCGACGACGGGUAGCCGGCCUGAGAGGGUGACCGGCCAACCUGGGACUGAGAUACGGCCCGGACGCCGACGGGAGGCAGCAGUGGGGAAUAUUGCACAAUGGGCGCAAGCCUGAUGCAGCGACGCCGCGUGAGGGAUGACGGCCUUCGGGUUGUAAACCUCUUUCAGCACCGACGAAGCGCAAGUGACGGUAGGUGCAGAAGAAGGACCGGCCAACUACGUGCCAGCCGCCGCCGUAA